rfam:Ornithorhynchus anatinus chromosome 7, whole genome shotgun sequence.
UCCCUCCUAGGGUCGUAUCUGGAGAGUUUCCAGUUCUCUGUCACUCUCAGAUAUGUGAGGGAGAGUCAAGCAGAGGCCUAUCCCUUCCAUUCCUAGCUUGGCCAGUGGCUAGUGAGUAGAAGGCAAUCUGCUACAAGU